GCUGAGCACGGGGUUGAGCACUGCAUCUGUGUGAUAUUCUUUCAUCCCCAGCUAGGGGCUCCACCUACCAGUCCGCAGUUCUCGCGAGAAGGAGCUCCCAAACAUGGCUGCCGCCAGUGUCUGUGUUUCUGGAAGGAGCUGCAGGCGACCCCUUACCACCUCUCCAGGAGCCUCUCCAAGACCCGCAGGCAGUAUGAUGACCACAAAUGGAUUUCAGGAUGUGGACAGUCACUGGAGACCUGAAAAGGAUGGACGAGGACCUUCAAGGAUGUACAACACAGGAAACUCUGCUCAAUGUUAUAUGGCAGCCUGGAUGGGAGAGGAGUUUGGAGGAGAGUGGAUACACAUAUAUGUAUGGCUGAGUCCCUUGGCUGUCUGCCUGAAAGUAUCAUAACAUUGUUAAUCGGCUAUACUCCAAUAUAAAAUAAAAAGUAAAAAAAAAAAAUAUUGCAAACUGACAAGGUGGGUCUGCUCCGGAGCCAUCUCUUUUCAGCCCCUGCGUGGAGCAGCUGAUAUGAUCCCAGGCGCUCCUAAAAAACCUGUGUUCUCUCUGGGUGUGGAAAUAGAGCUCUCCAGGCAGGCAGGAGUGUCUGCUGCCCAGGUGACCUAGGACAGCCCUGCCUGAUUUAUCCAGGAAACAGCUGACCCCCAUUAGGGCGCUGAUCAGCAUAGAUAGGCCCGAUGAAGGUGCGCCCUUGACACCACAGUUGGUUAACUUCUGAGCACUGGCCGACACUUCAUAGUGCUGAGCUGUGUGAGAAAGCUCUUCUUCCAGAAGCCACAGGCCCCAGAAGCUCUGCCUAGAUGGGUGACAUUUGUGUGGAUAAACCUCGAGUGGCCUUGACUCCACUCCCUGUUCAGGACUGCUUUGUCCUGAGCUGCUAAAUUUCUUCUCUCUCCUCUCCUAGGAGAGGAUGAUUAGCAUCCGUCCACUUCCAUUUCUGUCCCCUCAGACCCCAAAUGGCACAGAAACAACCCCUCAGAAGUAAUGACAAAUGUAAGGGUGACCCACCCAGCCAGGGUAUUGUGAAUGGGAAGCUUAGUAUCUCAAACCCACAUCGUUGUUAUUUACUUACUAAGUUGUGUCUGAUUCUUUGUGACCCCAUGGACUGUAGCCCGCCAGGCUCCUCUGUUCAUGAGAUUCUCCAGGCAAGAAUACUGGAGUGGAUUGCCAUUUCCUCCUCCAGGGGAUCUUCCCUAUCCAGGGAUCGAACACACGUCUCUUGUGUUUCCUACCUUAGUAGGCAGAUGCUUUACCACUAGCGCCAUUUUCAAAGUUGUGCGUGACAAAUGAAACAAGACUGAUCACAGUUCCCGAUACCUAGUAAGCUCCCAAUGAAUAUUCACUAAAAAUGUAUUAGCU
ensembl:lncRNA